GAAAAUUUCAUGGUCUUAUUUGACUAUUCUGUAGUGAGGUUAUGUUGGCAGAACUUAUUUGGUGGUUGUAUUGGAUGAGAGUAUUUGACUCAAAAGGAUGCAUUUCUUUCUGUUUGUUUAAUUUUGUUUGGAUUGCUUCCAUGUUUUCUGUUUUCUUUCAUGCACUAUAAUAGAUGCCUAGCAAGAGUUGCUGGACUAGUAUUUUUUUCUUAACAAUUGUGUCUAUUUGUUGAUUGUUUAGUUGAUCUAUUUUGAGCAUGGAACUGAUCAAUUUUAUUAUGUCCCUGAUGACCUUUUUCAUGAUUCUCCAUAUGCUACUUUGGUAAUUGAAUUCCAUGAUGAUUGCAAUCUGUUUUUACGCUGAUCACAAAGGGUUAACUAUUGCAGCCGGAU
rnacentral:misc_RNA from 1 species